rnacentral:tRNA from 1 species
CGGAACAUAGCUCAGUUGGUAGAGCAACUUUCAUACAGCGAGUCGGGGGUUCGAGUCCUUCUGUUCCGA